rnacentral:rRNA from 1 species
UGAGUAACCUGCCCCAGACUCUGGAAUAACCCCGGGAAACCGGAGCUAAUACCGGAUACGAGACGAAGCUGCAUGGCUAUCGUCUGGAAAGUUUUUCGGUCUGGGAUGGACUCGCGGCCUAUCAGCUUGUUGGUGAGGUAAUGACUCACCAAGGCGACGACGGGUAGCCGGCCUGAGAGGGCGACCGGCCACACUGGGACUGAGACACGGCCCAGACUCCGUACGGGAGGCAG